rnacentral:rRNA from 1 species
UAGGGAAUAUUGGACAAUGGCCGAAAGGCUGAUCCAGCCAUCCCGCGUGCAGGUAGAAGGUCCUAUGGAUUGUAAACUGCUUUUCUCUGGGAAGAAAUCACUUGUUUCUACGAGUGUUGACGGUACCAGAGGAAUAAGCACCGGCUAACUCCGUGCCAGCAGCCGCGGUAAUACGGAGGGUGCAAGCGUUAUCCGGAUUCACUGGGUUUAAAGGGUGCGCAGGCGGAUUUGUAAGUCAGUGGUGAAAGCCCCGGGCUCAACCUGGGAAUUGCCGUUGAUACUGCAAGUCUUGAGUAUAGUUGAGGUGGGCGGAAUACAUCAUGUAGCGGUGAAAUGCUUAGAUAUGAUGUAGAACACCGAUUGCGAAGGCAGCUCACUAAACUAUAACUGACGCUCAGGCACGAAAGCGUGGGUAUCAAACAGG